rnacentral:rRNA from 1 species
AUUGAACGCUGGCGGCGUGCUUAACACAUGCAAGUCGAUCGGUAACAGGUGUAGCAAUACAUGCUGACGAGAGGCGGACGGGUGAGUAAUGCUUGGGAAUCUGCCUAUUAGUGGGGGACAACCCGGGGAAACUCGGGCUAAUACCGCAUACGCUCUACGGAGGAAAGCCGGGGACCGCAAGGCCUGGCGCUAAUAGAUGAGCCCAAGUCGGAUUAGCUAGUUGGUAGGGUAACGGCCUACCAAGGCGACAAUCCGUAGCUGGUCUGAGAGGACGACCAGCCACACCGGAACUGAGACACGGUCCGGACUCCUACGGGAGGCAGCAGUGGGGAAUAUUGGACAAUGGGGGCAACCCUGAUCCAGCGACGCCGCGUGGGUGAAGAAGGCCUGCGGGUUGUAAAGCCCUUUCGGUGGGGAAGAAAAGUCUCGACCUAAUACGUCGGGACCUUGACGUAACCCCACUAAAGAAGCACCGGCUAACUCUGUGCCAGCCGCCGCCGUAAC